GACGAACGCUGGCGGCGUGCCUAAUACAUGCAAGUCGAACGAACCGCGACUGAGUGCUUGCACUUGGUCAAGGUGAGUGGCGAACGGGUGAGUAACACGUGGGUAACCUACCUCAUAGUGGGGGAUAACGGUCGGAAACGACUGCUAAUACCGCAUAGGACAUGGGAUCACAUGAUUCUGUGAGGAAAGGUGGCGCAAGCUAUCGCUAAGAGAUGGACCCGCGGUGCAUUAGCUAGUUGGUAGGGUAACGGCCUACCAAGGCGAUGAUGCAUAGCCGACCUGAGAGGGUGAUCGGCCACAUUGGGACUGAGACACGGCCCAAACUCCUACGGGAGGCAGCAGUAGGGAAUCUUCCGCAAUGGACGCAAGUCUGGCGGAGCAACGCCGCGUGAGUGAAGAAGGUCUUCGGAUCGUAAAGCUCUGUUGUUAGAGAAGAACAGCGCAUAGAG
rnacentral:rRNA from 1 species